ACGUUACUAAUGCUAAGUGCUGCGUUUUCUGUUUCUUAGUAAUACAGUCAUUACUAUGAAAUAGAAUAUACAAACUAACGAAACUCCUAGAAUUUUAAAUGGUGUUUCUUGUCCGUAGGUUCACCUAUAUCAAAAAUGUUGGCGGAAAGCUCGCAGCUUUUUU
rnacentral:telomerase_RNA from 1 species